rnacentral:rRNA from 1 species
GAUGAACGCUGGCGGCGUGCCUAAUACAUGCAAGUCGAGCGAACGGACGAGAAGCUUGCUUCUCUGAUGUUAGCGGCGGACGGGUGAGUAACACGUGGAUAACCUACCUAUAAGACUGGGAUAACUUCGGGAAACCGGAGCUAAUACCGGAUAAUAUUUUGAACCGCAUGGUUCAAAAGUAAAAGACGGUCUUGCUGUCACUUAUAGAUGGAUCCGCGCUGCAUUAGCUAGUUGGUAAGGUAACGGCUUACCAAGGCAACGAUGCAUAGCCGACCUGAGAGGGUGAUCGGCCACAUUGGAACUGAGACACGGUCCAUACUCCUACGGGAGGCAGCAGUAGGGAAUCUGCCGCAGUGGGCGGAAGCCUGACGGAGCAACGGCGCGUGAGAUAUGAAGGUCUUCGGAUCGGAAUACUGUGUUACUAGGUAAGAACAUAUGUGUAAGUAAAUGAGCACAGCUUGACGGUAACUAAUCAGAAAGCCACGGCUAACUACGUG